CCUUCAUGGACUGGAUCCCUGGUCCCCACCACCGAAUCUUCAAAAAUUUCCAAGAGCUUCGGCUCUUCAUCUCUGAGCAAAUUCAGUGGCACCGGCAGUCACGACAGACUGGGGAGCCCCGUGACUUCAUUGAUUGUUUCCUCGAACAAAUGGAUAAGGUACCAGUCCCUGCCGCCCUUAAUGGUACCCACCCUGUCAACCAGCAGGCAUCAGACCACCUGUCUGUCCCCAGGAACAUCAGGACCCGGAAAGCCAUUUCCAGGAUGAGACACUGGUGAUGACUACUCACAAUCUUUUCUUUGGUGGCACGGAGACCACAAGCACCACUCUGCGUUAUGGGCUCCUCAUUAUGCUCAAGUACCCUGAGGUGGCAGGUUUGAGAACUGGGUACACCCCUCCCCUCCCCUCACCCUAAGUGAAGAGAGAGUGGCUGGGGUGGGAUCUCAGUAAAGCACAACCCACAGCCUCCAAUGACCUCAGCCAAGGUGCAAGAGGAGCUGGACGCCACUGUAGGCCGGACCCGUGCCCCUAGCCUAGCAGACCGUGCCCACCUGCCCUACACCAAUGCGGUGCUGCAUGAGAUCCAGCGCUUCAUCAGCGUGCUACCACUGGGACUGCCUCGGGCCCUCAUCCGAGACGUAAACCUCAGGAACCAUUUCCUGCACAAGGGCACCUUCGUCAUUCCCUUGCUUGUGUCUGCACAUCGGGAUCCCACCCAAUUCAAGGACCCUGACCAUUUC
rnacentral:lncRNA from 1 species